rnacentral:rRNA from 1 species
UACGGAGGGUGCGAGCGUUGUCCGGAAUUACUGGGCGUAAAGCGCGUGCAGGCGGCCUUGCAAGUCGGACGUGAAAUCCCACGGCUCAACCGUGGAAGUGCAUUCGAAACUGCGAGGCUGGAGUCCUGGAGAGGAAAGUGGGAUACUCGGUGUAGAGGUGAAAUUCGUAGAUAUCGAGUGGAACACCGGUGGCGAAGGCGGCUUUCUGGACAGGUACUGACGCUGAGACGCGAAAGCGUGGGGAGCAAACAGG